UAUAAAAGAAUCAUCAAUAUCGAAGCUGGGGUCCGUAUGUCGCAGAAUCUAUAGAAUAUUUUCUCAUGCUUACUAUCACCACCGACGAAGUUAUGAUGAAUUUGAGGCAAGCACAAACUUAUGUCGUCGCUUCACUGCGUUUGUUUUAAAGUACGAACUAAUGGCGCAGGAGAGUCUUAUUGUGCCUACAGAUCAAAACCGAACAGAGAUAAGUAGCACUUUACAGACUGGAGUGUAACGUUUUUCGGGAAAAAUGUGCAUCAACAAAUAUUUUACUAUAAAUUAGAUUUAUUGGGGCUAUCAUGCAGAAUUAACUUUGAUGAAAGUGUUCGUCAAAAUAUGUCGAUAAUAGACUUGUCAAAUAAACUUUCUUUAAAUACCUAAAUAUUUAUUGACAUAUAAUGGCUAACAUAUAAAGUAACUAUUAUCAACAACAUGGCGGGUGUGGCUAAUUUGGAAAAAAUUUUCCAACAAUGACGAAUACAGCGAAUUUUUAUUCCUGUUUUACGUAGCUGCAUUUUUCAUCUCGUUCCACGGGGUAAAAAAAUGAAUGAAAAUAAUAUUCUAUCUAAAUGAAUAAUUCUGCUGAAAGAUUUUUGUAGCAUAGGA